AUUGAACGCUGGCGGCAUGCCUUACACAUGCAAGUCGAACGGUAACAGGUCUUCGGAUGCUGACGAGUGGCGAACGGGUGAGUAAUACAUCGGAACGUGCCCGAUCGUGGGGGAUAACGAGGCGAAAGCUUUGCUAAUACCGCAUACGAUCUACGGAUGAAAGCGGGGGAUCUUCGGACCCCGCGCGGACGGAGCGGCCGAUGGCAGAUUAGGUAGUUGGUGGGAUAAAAGCUUACCAAGCCGACGAUCUGCAGCUGGUCUGAGAGGAUGAUCAGCCACACUGGAACUGAGACACGGCCCAGACUCCUACGGGAGGCAGCAGUGGGGAAUUUUGGAAAAUGGGCGAAAGCCUGAUCCAGCCAUGCCGCGUGCAGAAUGAAGGCCUUCGGGUUGUAAACUGCUUUUGUACGGAACGAAAAGCCUCUUUCUAAUAAAGAGGGGUCAGGACGGUACCGUAAGAAGAAGCACCGGCUAACUACGU
rnacentral:rRNA from 1 species